CAGUAGCCGCGGGAAUACGAAGGGGGCUAGCGUUGUUCGGAUUUACUGGGCGUAAAGGGCGCGUAGGCGGGCUGAUAAGUCGGGGGUGAAAUCCCAAGGCUCAACCUCGGAGCUGCCUUUGAUACUGUUGGUCUUGAGUCCGGGAGAGGUGAGUGGAACUGCGAGUGUAGAGGUGAAAUUCGUAGAUAUUCGCAAGAACACCAGUGGCGAAGGCGGCUCACUGGCCCGGAACUGACGCUUAGGCGCGAAAGCGUGGGGAGCAAACAGGAUUAGAUACCCCCGUAGUCCCUGUCUCUUAUAC
rnacentral:rRNA from 1 species